rnacentral:tRNA from 1 species
AUUCAGGUAGCUUAAAUUAGAGUUUAAUAUUGAAGAUAUUAAGGUAAUAAAAAUAUUUCUGAAUA